UUUAAUAGGCUUGCAAGGAAACUGAACUCUGAAUGUAUGAGAUUUUCAAAAGAUCUCAACUUAUUUCCUGCUGCUGCUGCUGGAACAACAUACCUUUGACUUUAGGUGCGGGGACUCCCAUUUUCUAAAACAUUUUGUGUGAACGAGACGGCAUUUUGGCACAUUCGCGUGGUCUUGUCUAGAUAGAUGACGUUUGCAGCACAGCUAGCAACAAUAACAUCAACAGAUCGCUCUCAAACCGAGGUCAACGACCUGAGCGUAUCCCCCACUCCUUCCUUCUCGUCAGUGUAAACCGCGCGCUUUUGGGGUCUUGAAAGUGUAUCUAAAAUAAAAUAUUCAAGCAUUGGCCAGUGCAAAAUCUUUCAGUUUUCAAAAGAAUUGUAUUUAGCGGUACCGUGAAAUUACCGACGAGAAAAUAUAUGUGUCCUUUUGUCCGACCCGUGACGCUCAGCCCGUCACUCUUCGGUAGUUGGCAGUAAUGCAGAGAAGAACUUUUUAGCAGCAGUACACACCAUACCUGUUUUGGCGGUUUUCGGAGUGCGAGCACAUUAUUCCAAGGUAGAAUUUCGUUAAAUCUAAUCCUUGCCAAGAUUGCAAAGUCGUUUUUCCCUUCCAAAACAAUUUCCUUUUUAAAAAAAUAUUGUUAGGCAAAGAGGGCAAAGAAAAAAUCAUAGUACCCUCGUCUGGCUGUUGACCUAUCCAACUAGAUUUUUUACUUUAAAUCUUAAAUACUACCUCAUUACAUGGUGAAAUUUAGCUGUUUCAAUUCAUUUAACAUAAACCAACUUCCUACCUGUCAUUUUUUUCAUUGUAUUCCAAGGUUAAGUCCGGUUAGGUUACUGUUUCUGUGGAGUGUAAGACUGAACCAACUGUACAAUUUCCACUGAACUCUUUCUUUGCAGAUGAAUGCUACAGAAGCAGUUCUUGAGGACGCUAGAAGAAGGUUCAAGAAGGAAAUUCUUCUGAAAACCAAGGAGGUGCAUCUGAUUGCCCUUGAAUUGAGUAUGAGUUUGUGGACCUGGACGAAACAUUUUACGAACCCGCUGAGCUAGCUGCUGCUGCAGCUCUGGAUCGUCCAUUAGAGAGAAUUGGUGGGGAUACUUCAAAGCCAGUUAUGGACCAUCAUUUAGAUGAGCAAGAUUUAGCGCUAAAGGAUCCUGUUGCUUCAUCAGCUCCCAAAAAGCCAUCAAAUGAUACUGAUGUUGGUCACGUCUGUAAAUUGCCCAGAUGUUGGGAGCAUCAACCUUUCCGUGGCACGG